AAGUUCCUGGGCCAGGGACUGAACCCAUACCACAGGAGUGACCUGAGCCACAGCAGUGACAACACUGGAUCCUUAACCUACUGAACUGCCAGGGAGCUCCAACCCUGGCGUUUUUCUAAUUAUGCUGCUCAGCCUGCUUGAAGUCUUCUGCAUCCAGGAGGAAGGAGAGGUUCCACACAGAGGAACGCAGCUCACUUUAGAAUCUGCCAGGCCCCCUCCACCAAACAGACUCAAGAAAAACACCAACCUUUCAGAGCACAAGGAGCCAUACUUCUGAGUCCAAGUUCAAAGCAAGUGAAUACAAAAUCCACCACGGCCCAGCUGGAUAGUCUCCGGGCCUAGAUUUUCAUGCUUACUACUCCUUAAUCCUUGACCACCAGGGGUCAGGGCAAGAAGUACCAACCUUGAAACUCCAGACUCGGAUAAAAGAAAAAAAUAUUUUACCAUAACCAAGAAGACUAAACACCACUCAACGAGCAUAGAAAAUGCUACGUGGACAAACCCAGUGGCCCAGCCAAAAGAGCAGAUCUCUGCAUAAAAACCUUGACCUUUCAUAAUGAAACAUUUCUCUUUGUCAUUUACGUGAUUAUUUCCGGGCAAAGUUCCACUCCCUGCUCGUGAGGUAUCACAGGCCCCCCUGGACUGGUUUUAAUCUGAGGGAUCCGUGAAUCAAUUCCUAAGAAGGCCGAUAUUAGAGAUGCUAAGUUUGACAAGCCAGUCAUCCUGUCAUUCUGCCUGCAGAAGGGUCCACGGCUUGCACCAAAUUUGCAAAAGGAGUGUGUCCCUUCAAAGAGCCUAAGACCCAGUCUCCUGGCGAAUCCACUCGGUCCCCCUGACCCAAUCCGCCCAGAUACGAGGAUGGAAACAAGACCAGGCAUGAAAGAAAAAAUAAAUAAAUCUCUUCCCAAAGCAAGUCAUGCGAAGCAUAAACAGGCCACAUUUAAGUGGAUGUGACAGAAGAGCUGUUGAAGAAGAUAACGCUCCCAGUACAAUCUCACAGGUCUCCAAGAAGCGAAGAGGAAGAAAACCAGCGUUUUGGAGACGAGGUCCCUGAGUGUGGGCUCCGCACGGCCCCACCCCUCGCGCCGGGACCAGAGCGACCCCACGGCACACCGGGCCCUCAACCAGUACCUGCCGGAUGCCGAAUGAACAGUCCUUGUCAGUUAUUCUUCCCAACCCUGGGAUGCAGGGAUUACAGUCUGCAGGCUCACGGACCAGGCUAAAAGAAGCCACGUGACUUGCCUGAAGUUACAACCGCUAAGAAGCAGAACUAGGAGCUAAACCCAGAUGCAAGCACUGCUAUGUAAAACCCAGGUCCCUUCCCCACACCACACUCUGUUUAGAUAGCAGGCUAUUAAUGCAAAGUCAUCUCAACUCCAGAGGCUCCCUCGAGGAUCAUUAUUUUAUCUGGGCCUGGGGUUCCUGGUGUAUACAGUGGGAGACAUGGGGCAUGUCAACAAUUGAUUAGUAGUGGCUGUCUCCAGACUCAAAGGGAACGGCUGAUUACGCCAGGAUUGAUUAGCAAUGUCUACCAGGGAUAAAGCAAUGAGCACCGGCUGCACGUGUGUCAUAUAUUGGCCAUUCCAGAACAAGAUGACCUGCAGGUCCUCUUCCAACUCUGGCUGCCUCUGAUUUUAAUUAUAAAAAAUUUAAAGGAGGGGAUGGAAAAGGAAAGAACAGACUAACAUUUUCCAACACUGGCCGUAGCUAAAUUCAGCAAAGCCAAAACUGGCCGCCUAGCCAGUCCUGCAUGCUCCAUGCACACAGCCCGGCCACAUGAGAGGAAGUGGAAAACAUCAGAUCUGCUGCCUGCACGCCCAAUAAGACACCAAGUCCAAGCCAGAAGCAGCAGAAGCAUGGCUUUGUCUGGCUUGGCCUGGGAUGCAAACCACCCCAUCAGUAAGCACAGCAGCGCCAUCAGGGUUCAUACCCCGGCCUGACCUCUUGCCCAUCCUGAGGUCUGGACAAAGUACUUCACCUCACUAAGCCUCCGUUUUCUCAGCCUGGAAAAUCCUUGAUUAAACGCAAUGGUGCAUCAAAGUUCUUAACAACACGCCCAGAGUGUGUGGGCAAACGCCACUGCCUUCAUCGUCGUCAUCACAUCACCUCCACCAUCACCCCCACCUGUCUUCGAAGGGGGGCUAUUUUCAGAAAAACCUCUGAGUGCAAGAGACUAGUUCUUUUCCCACGUUCAGCAUCACAGCCCAUUUGGCCACCAUGAUGCUAAAAGGGAAGAAGAGGCUCUGAAAACAACCCCAUCCUCCUGAAGCUCCUGGUGGAUCAGCCGGGGCCCUGGGGAGAAACAGAUGGCAGACACAAAAAGGUGUCAUUUGAAGAAACUGUAACAAAAGGACAGCAUACCAAGGUGUGGGCAGAACACAUGGAGACACAAGAGCCGGCUUCCUACCUGGGGCGACCAACUGCCCUGAUCUGCUGGGACUGAGGGGUUUCCCGCGACCCAGGACCAGACUGCAAAUACCUGGCACAGUCCUGGGCAAGGCACGACAGGUGGUUGCCUCCUUCCUACCCUGUGUGAAGGCAAAGGAGCAGGUACGGAAGCCUGGGUGAGGGUGACAGGACAGGAGCUGUGGCCUAGGGACACUGUCUGCCCACAGCAACCCCGAAGGAAGAAGCCUGAGACCUCCACCCCCUUCCUGGGCCCCCAUGAAUGGGCCAAACCCACCUGGAGACUGGAGGGCACAGAAGCUGUGGGUGAAGGCCACAAGGCCGGGUCCCAGGCACAAGAAGGGUGGACAAGAAUGAGUGCUAACCCUGGGAAGGUCAGGGGGCAAGACCCCACCUCCCAGAAGGCUCCCUGGGGGGCUGGUGGGACUUGGGGCCUCCAGCCCUCAUCCAACAAGGUGAGGACCAGAUCCAAGCUCUGUGGAACCAACCAUCAAUGAGCCUGGUUCUCAGCCGAGGCUGGAGGAAGAAGCCUCCUCCCCCGGUGGCAGGGUCACCGCCGACCACGUGAGCAAGGCUAAGAACAGGGAGCUACCGCCAAAGAAGAGGGUCUCCCUGGGCUCUGUCUAAACGGGGCGCUCUGCCAUCGCAAGCCCAGGCGCAACGCCUGCUGGGGGGCAGUAUGACAGAUACACAGGGGCGCAUCAUGGAAGGACCACGAGUGGUGUCCGCACUGGCACAUGCAGACCAGAGGCCACCAUUCCGGCCCCGUGCAGGUGUCAGGGGCAAUAUCGUUGAGAAAACAAAAGCGCCUUUCAAUUCUGUCUUUAAAUCAUAUUUUCCAAGAUCGAAAUCUUGUUUCCCAAGCACUGCUGCUGAAAGCUAAAUUGAAAACCACCAGAAACACCUUAAUCCUCCCCACUGCUGGUUUCUAUCUUGCCCUAGUUGGGGACACAGGGGCUGCAGCUGGACCCAAGACUGGGGACCUUCCAGGUCCCUGUGCCCGAGGGCACAAGCCCCUCCUGGAGGUUCUCCCGACAGCUUGAGGACACCAGACAGGGCCCAGGGUUUCCAAGAACACUUGAGGCACUUUUCUGUCCCUUCACGGCCUCCGAUGCCUGGGGCCUCCAUACAUCAACCAGGUGCGUUCAGCAGGUGCUGCCUGAUGAAACGCCUGCCCUCAAGAAGUUCACGGUCGAGCAGAAGCAGGAGCGCAGCUGGGCAGAACGGCAGCCGUGAUCAGGUGUGGUGACAAUGCGGUGGGCGUCCAGUGAUCGAUGCUUCUGGGCCGGACACUACUAAGCCCCUUGAUCUUUAGGACAAGCCUGGGAGGUGGCCACGAUUAUCCCCAGCUUACAGAUGAGAAAACAGUGCUGGAUCACACCACUGCUUACGUGGCCUGCUAGGAAGUGUCUGAAUCCAAAAGCUCUGGCCAGAACUCAUAGGAUCUUUAGCCAAAGAUGACAGGACACCCCAGGAGGGAAGGACUGACCUGAGGAGGCAGGAUAUUCAGCGCCUCCACCACCGCACCAGGUUUCAAGGUAGGGACAGAGCAUCCGUGGCCCUUCAGUCUGCCACACACACCCCUCUUCGAGCAAGGCUGUCCAGAACGCUGAGCAGGGUGUGCCCAACACCAGUCCCCCUGGCUGGACCAGGCUGGGGCUGAGAUGCAGCCAGGGCUUGGCCGUCCUGGCCCACGCUGUGCCCUGCUUCCCACUGGGGCAUUAGAAGGGCCCUGGAGCGCUGCUCUUUGCCACAGCCUCUGGCCUAAGACCCUCACCCCUUCACUGCGCCCACUGGCAGGACCCAGACAUACCCCAGAAGCCUCUUCCUAGCUUUCCUGCUCGUGUGGUUCACUCAGUUCCAAAAAGCAGAGGGACCCAAAGCUCAGCCUUGCUGGGGCUUCACUCAAGCAGAUGGAGACCUUUUUACAAGAGUCAUGUAGCCAGGUCACCCGCCCUGGCCCACCCUCUCUCCUCUUUGCAGGCCUCCCCCCCAAAAAAACCCUACUAAUUCAGACAGGAUUCAAGAAGCUGGUUUCAAAGUCAUCUUCCUCACCCCAAAACUUUUGAAUGCCGAUUCUCUCUCUUCUUUUUAUUGGCAUGAUGCAGCUCCCAGCAAGCCAGACCUCCCUGGAUCCCAGAGGUCCUGAGCCAUCAGGCGAAGGCGGGCACAGCAGGGCACCGGCAGGAGGGAUCAAAGGUAUGGGGAGCUCGCCAGCGCUCAGGCCUGUGGGAUUGCCUUCCAGGGGCCCUGAAGGCCCUCGGCUCCACGGCACAGGGACCUGGGCUCCUGUAGCCCCACAUGGUUCUUGGUUACCACCCCUGUGCCAGGUCCCAAAGAACCAAGGCGUCUGCGGGCAGGAGCAGGGCUCCCAACUCUGCCACAAGCCAGCCCACAGCCAGGACCCGCUCAUCAGAUGGGACCUCUCAGGGCAGGUGGGCUCUGAACCGAGGCACUCCAGGGGUUCUCAACCAGCGACAUGCCCCCCAGGGGACCGAUGGCGGAAUCUGCAGGCAUCUGGGCUGUCACACCUGCGAGGAACGGUGUACCGGCAUCCGGGGGGCCGAGGCACGGAUGCUGCUCAAGAUCCACGACGGCCACCGUGGUCCCCACCGCAAAGUACGGUCUGGGGCCCGAGGACAAGAGGGCCAAAGCAGACACACUUGGAGAUCAGGUACAGAAACGGCUUAGCACUUAUGAAUAAUCAGACCUCAUCCCUCACUGUGCAAACAAUCCUGUGUGUGUCACACGUAUGUCCUGGAAGAAAGCAAAGAUGGCUCUACCCCAAAAUAUCCAUCUGGGUGGUUUCUGGGUGGUGGGAUUUGGGGAGAAUUUUUCCCUUCUUUAUUGUUUAAGGUCAUCACCCUCCCUGCCUGAUUAUCUGCUGUAUUUUGCAAGCGUGGAGGAGAACAGCUGGUAGAGAAGACAGGUGGGCAAAGAGGCCGUUACCGUUACCACCUGGCUGGGAAAGUGCCAGCUCUCAGGAGGAAGCCUUCACCCCGGCUGGGGGUCAGGGAAGGCUCCUGAGUCGCGGCGGGCCCCGGACCCCAUGCUCGCCAUCACCAGGUUAUCACAGCCAACUCUCAGGGACAGGGCAUCUGAAGCAAGGAAACUGAGGCUCCCCUCUGGGUGAGCUCGCCUCCACCUUGGUGGAGAAGCAAACCUGCACCUUGGCCCUUCUAGAGACACAUGUACAGGAAGACGGCCAAACCACCCAAGGUGACUCUCUGCUCUAUCCCCACCCUCCCCGCUUCUGCAAGGCCCUGCGCUCAGCAGGGAGCCAGCCCUGGCCACUCUGGGCCUUUCUGAGCCUCCACUCUUGAGCCCGGCUCUCGGCCACACGCAGUUACUCUCUGGAGCCAGACAGUGUGGGUGCAAACGCCAGCUCCUCCACUACUAGGUGGGUGAAUAGUGAC
rnacentral:lncRNA from 1 species